AUUAUGAUGAUAUAAAUGAGACGAACUUUAAUUUAAAAAAAUACAUGAAUUUCAUGCUGGACUAAUAGCCCUCUGAAAGCUGAAGUUCAAUGUAUUUAAAGAAAAGGAACAGCACUGACUGAAGUGUAGAUGUUCCGACACAUUAAUCUCUGCCAGUGAGAUUCAUCUCUGAUCUGCAGGAACCACCUCUGGGGGGAGAACAUUGCAGUCUGAAUAGGUCUCCAAUAAGCCUGCUGGCUUGAGAAAAGGGUAUUGAUCUACUGAUUCCACCAAUAUUCUCACUUCAUCUGAAAUCUACUGUAAACAGGUAUUUCUGGAUGCAGUUCUAGGCUGCCUGAAACUGUCCAAAGCGCUGCAUUAAUCCAGAAAAGACUUGGUCCUAUGGUGUGAAAAAUGGAUGCAACCUUGAGUUCUUGGCUGUCCGUGUUAUCACCGGCUGAGAGACUACAAAACUUCCGGAAGAGACCGCAAAAAAGCAAAGACGACAUGCUGCACUAAGUGAUGCACCAAUCUCUCACAGAGAAUCAAAAAGUGCAGAAGUGGAGGGAGAGGGAAAGCAGGAUCCACAAGGAGAAAACAGCGCACAGGAAGCAAAGCACGGAGAGGCUGGAAAGCAUCCUGGAGCACCAAGCAGACUCUAUUCAGGCACUCGUAGCCAUGCAGGCGGAGCACUACCGCCCCCACCCUCCCCGCACUCCUUGUCCCAAAGCUCUCUCUCUUGUGCCCCCAUGUCAGCUCCAAUCCCCCUUCCUCAACAUCCGGGUUCUUACCGCCACCAGCUGCCUCCAACACUUGUACGUUCACCAACUAGCCCUGAGAACUACCACCCUUACCCUCUGCACUCAACCCCCAUCACCAUACAGUAUAGGCAUCCUGAAGUGCAGCAGUCAUUGCAUAGCACUCCAGACAGGACAUAUUCAAACCUGUGACUGUACAGUUCCCCACUCCACCCCCUUGCCCUUUCAGAUUCCAAAAAAGUUGUGUGUCUUUCAAUAAAGUAACUCUCUUUUCAAUCAAUGAAUUUUCGGCUUUGAAAACAGUCUUUAUUAUUGCAGAAAGUUAAAGAUACCUUAGCCCAGGAAAGAAACAGGCACUGCAAAUCAGCUUAGCAAACACAGAUUCCUACUAACAUUGUAACCACUGCACUUCACUCCCGUGCAAGGCACCAAAUAUUACUGUUGGUUUUCAGCCUCAAAUUCCUCCCUCAAGGAAUCCCUAAUCCUUGCAGCCCUGUGCUGAGCCUCUCUAGUAGCCCUGCUCUCUGGCUAUGCAAAUUCAGCCUCCAGGCGUUGAACCUCGGAGGUCCAUGCUUGACUGAAUCUUUCACCCUUCCCUUCACAAAUAUUAUGGAGGGUACAGCACACGGAUAUAACCGCGGGGAUGCUGCUUUCCUCCAAGUCCAGCUUCCCAUACAGAAAUCGCCAGUGCCCCUUUAAACG